rnacentral:rRNA from 1 species
GAUGAACGCUGGCGGCGUGCUUAACACAUGCAAGUCGAACGAUGAAGCCGGAGCUUGCUCUGGUGGAUUAGUGGCGAACGGGUGAGUAACACGUGGGUAACCUGCCCUUGACUCUGGGAUAAGCGCUGGAAACGGCGUCUAAUACCGGAUACGAGCUUCCACCGCAUGGUGAGUUGCUGGAAAGAAUUUCGGUCAAGGAUGGACUCGCGGCCUAUCAGCUUGUUGGUGAGGUAACGGCUCACCAAGGCGACGACGGGUAGCCGGCCUGAGAGGGGGACCGGCCACACUGGGACUGAGACAGGGCCCAGACUCCUACGGGAGGCAGCAGUGGGGAAUAUUGCACAAUGGGCGCAAGCCUGAUGCAGCAACGCCGCGUGAGGGACGAAGGCCUUCGGGUCGUAAACCUCUUUUAGCAGGGAAGAAGCGAAAGUGACGGUACCUGCAGAAAAAGCACCGGCUAACUACGUGCCAGCCGCCGCCGUAA